AUCUUGAACGUUUUCCUUCUUCCUGCAGAUCAUCCAACCAAUGGUCAAAAGUUCAACUUUAAAUGGCAGCUGGAGCUACAACUUCCACCUACAUUCUACUCGCACGUCGGAUCAUCCCAAUUUUUCUCAAGGAGAACAACAAUCCAGGGAUUUUCGUUUCAAUGCUGUGGUGCAUUCUGCUUUCUGACCAUUAGGUGAAAUCACUGGUAGCCACAUGCGUUCCUUCGGGAUUGCUAGGCUAAGGAGGGUGGUCAGGGGUCGCCCGCCCUCCUCUCCGCCCCUGGAGGGACAGGGUACUCGGUGCUCGUAAAGGAUAUCGAGGGGAAGAUGGGAGCAGAAGACGACAGGUGUGCGAUCGAUCGUCUGCCCGUAAUAUCGCAAAAACCCAGGUGGGGGGGGGGUGUACCAUACCCCCCCUCUCCAUCCAGAAGCCAGUAGCGUCUGCUGCCGGUAGUAAUCGGGCGUCGGCGACGGCGUCUACCAGGACCCAGUGUUGCUGCGUCCUCCCGGGUGGUCUCACGAGGACGCGAACGAGGACUGGAGCAGGAAGAAACCUCGAGAGUGGAAAUUAACGCUGCUGAAGGUUAAUACGGCGCGGCUGAAGAAGCAAAUAUUUCUCUUUCGCCAUCGCCUCGAAGCGUCCCCUAUUUCAGGUUGAUUGUACGGAUAGGAGAGAGAAUGAAACGAAGACGGAUGGUAUUGAGGUUAUAACUCAGGUUGCUUGAUGAGAACUCUUUAAUCAGCUCAGGAAUAGGAUAGGCGUGAUCCAUUAUUUACUGCCCUAUUUUAUAUCCCAGCCUCCUCCCUUCAUCCUGAGGCCCAUAAGUCAGUCUUUAGGCAGGUUUUCGCUAUGUUCGCGCCACUGCGAUCGGGAUGGUCCGUUGCUAAUUUUUUAUUUGGAAAUUCACGCGGUGCCGCGGAUCGGGCUUGUCCGCUGGUCGCUUGGCUGAACGGUUCUCGUUGAGAAUCUCUUUUUUUUUUGCCGGGAUGGUCGCGGGUCAUUGGAAUUCAAUUUUGCCAAAUUAUACAUCGCUAUUUAUGGCGAGUUGG